AGUGCGACUCGCGCGUGCGCCCCCGCACCACAGCCACCCCCUCCGAGAAAGACACUCUCAGUUUCGAGCAUCAGUUUUCGUCUGGUCCACAGGUCGAAAACAUGGCAAAAGGAAAAGGUGGAGGCGGCAAAGCCGAUGACAAAAAACCUGCGGCUGGCGGUGCUCCUGCUGCUGGAGCUGCUGCUGGUGGCGGGGCUGCCAAGGGUGGAGACAAGAAAGGAGGUGGCGGUGAAAAGUCUGGAAAGAAAGGAGGCAAGAAAUAAAGACCGCGCUCUUCAGGGACCAAGAAUUCGAUUUUAUCCUCUCAUUAUUUCGCGGAGCAGUAAAACUGAAAAGCUCCGUUCAUCACUAACAUUUUCACCGCAGCAAUAAAAAGAAGAAUUUUGAUUUGUUUAGCAUUUUUACAAUAAAUUCUCGUUUUGCUGUAAUA